UACGAGGGGUGCAAGCGUUGUUCGGAAUCACUGGGCGUAAAGCGCGUCUAGGCGGAUAGGAAAGUCUGUUGUGAAAGACCUUAGCUCAACUAAGGAUGUGCAGCGGAUACUCCCUAACUUGAGUCAUGGAGAGAUGAGCGGAAUUCCGAGUGUAGCAGUGAAAUGCGUAGAGAUUCGGAGGAACAUCAGAGGCGAAGGCGGCUCAUUGGCCAUGUACUGACGCUGAAGCGCGAAAGCGUGGGUAGCAAACAGG
rnacentral:rRNA from 1 species